UACGGAAUGUGCAAACGUUAUUCGGAAUCACUGGGCUUAAAGAGUCCGUAGGCGGCAUGUUAGGUGAGGUGUGAAAUCCCCCGGCUCAACCGAGGAAUUGCGCUUCAAACCGGCGUGCUUGAGGAAGAUAGAGGUGGGCGGAACUGAUGGUGGAGCGGUGAAAUGCGUUGAUAUCAUCAGGAACACCGGAGGCGAAGGCGGCUCACUGGGUCUUUUCUGACGCUGAGGAACGAAAGCUAGGGGAGCAAACGGG
rnacentral:rRNA from 1 species